CCACGUGUUGCCGUAAAGCGUAUGCCUAGUCGUAAACAUUCCUCUAAUGUGUAAAGGUUGACGCAAGGUGGAAUUUCCGUUAGUUCACACUUAUCGUCGGUUUAUGCACCUCUACUUUAAAAUAAUUCAGCUGAGAGCGCCGGCAAGUGUUGGGAAGUCCAAACAGGGUACAAAAGCUAUAAGUUCCUUUCAGAUCAGAUGUCUUCCCCUGCCUCCGGUAUCCCCCCUGUCCUCCUAAACACAGGGCUUCACAUGCCCCUCCUGGGUUUGGGGACCUACAAGUUGGUGGUUCCUGAAGAUGUGAACCGGGCUGUGGACGCAGCACUGGUUGCUGGUUAUCGGGCCUUUGACAGUGCAGCCGUCUACCAGAAUGAAGCUGAGCUGGGCCGAGCCUUGAAGGAGCUCUUGCCCAAACAUGGCUUAACCAGAGAGGAUGUGUUCAUAACCAGUAAGCUGGGCCCCAA